CCUCAAUCUCACUCUCUCUCGUUCUUUUCCUCAACUCAAAAACCAGCCCUCAACCAUCCUCUUUGACGGCGUGCAUGGGUCACGGCUGGUGGCCGGAUCACGGCGGCGGGCUCGAUGCAGAGGCAGGGGACUCGGUUCUCUCACUCCUUCGUCCUCCCAUCUCUCACUCUGCCUGGGCUCGAUGUCGCCUAGGGGUUCAAGGGCUCGACAGCGGCUGGGGGUUCAAGGGCUCGACGCGUGAGUGGGAUUCUCCGGGCUGGCUGGGCUCGACGGCGCGGGGGUCUCAGGGGGUGGGAUCGAUCGUGCAAGGACGGCGCUGGGAGGGGUUCAAGUUGGGCUGAGUUGGGUCUGGGUCGACUGUGCAGGGACGGUGGCUGGGCUCGGGCAGGGACGGUGGCUGUGCAGGGAGGGGCUAGUGUAGGUUUGGGAUUUGUUCUUUAACUGUUUGGAAAUUGUUCAAGCUUAUAUGAAGUUGGCUUCUGGGAUUUUUUCGGUCCUGUGGCUGAGGAUAUGUUCCAUUGGCAAGCAACAAUUAUGGGGCCUGCUGAUAGUCCAUAUGCAGGGGGCGUAUUCCUUGUUUCAAUUCAUUUUCCUCCGGAUUAUCCCUUUAAGCCUCCAAAGGUAAAGAAGAAGGGUGAUAAAGAUGAGAGGAAGCUCAAGAGAAGGAUGACCAAUCCAACUGUUUUUCUUUUUAUUAAUGGGCUUUGAUGUUUGUGGAUUUUAAUAUUUUUUUGGUUCCCAAUAAAAUACAUUAUCUGUGAUUGAACUUUCA